AGGAGACGGGCACCCCUGAAGGCCAGGAAGAAGUUCACAGGGAGACCUUGUGCUCAGCAGGCCUCUGGGAUCCCUUGCUGCUUCUCCAUCUUGCCAUCAGUGACAGCCAGUCAGCAUUUACAGAAGGGGCAAGGAUGCCUGGUGUGUUCAACCUUCAGCUGAGAGACUAUGUCCUGGGUACACAGGCCCUGUGCUGGGAGUGGGAACUUCCUGGAUAUUGAGCAGGAUCUCCGUGGCUCUCUGGGACCUGGAAGGAGGAGCUUAGAGUCCUCCUUAUUUCCAUCCAGAGAGGAACCAGCUGAGGACUGAGUGCCAGCACAUGCUCUCUCCCUCUUUCUCUCUUUCACAUGCACAUACAGACACACACACACACACACACACACACACAAACACUCAUAUACUGCCCAUAGGAAAAUAACUGGGAAGCAGAGCUGAACAAAGACUCCUGUGAAAGAGGUAUUGUUUCCUAUGUUUUCUCAUACAACAGGUCUAGAAAAUUCCAACUUUAAUUUCUCCUUUUUUUUUUUUUUUUUUUGAGACGGAGUCUCACUCUGUCUCCCAGGCUGGAGUGCAGUAGUUCGAUCUUGGCUCACUGCAACUUCCGCCUCCCAGGUGCCAGCGAUUCUCCUGCCUCAGCCUCCCAAGUAGCUGGGACUACAGGUGUGUGCCACCAUGCCUGGCUGAUUUUUGUAUUUUUUAGUAGAGACGCGGUAUCACCAUAUUGGCCAGGCUGGUCUUGAACUCCUGACCUUGUGAUCUGCCUGCCUUGGACUCCCAAAGUGCUGGGAUUACAGGCGUUAAGCCACCGCACCCGGCAACUUUAAUUUCUUACAUUUUCACAAUGCUUCUUGAUGCUUUCAUAUCUAUUAUCUUUCUCAAUCUGUCCAACAACUUGACAAGGCAGGCCACUAUUAUCUUUCUUUACAGAUGAGGAAAUUGAGGCUCAGAAUGGUUAAGUGCUGUGCCCAUGGUCUAACAGGUAGGCAGCAGCAAAACUGAGACCAGGACCCAGAGUCUCUGGUUCCAAGCCCUGUGUACUUUCCACAAUCCCAUGUUGUCCAGGCAAAACUGAAAAAGACUCUGAACAGGUUCUAGCCUCCAAGAGGUCGCGAAGGGUGUGCUUCAUGCUUCAUUCCAUCCCAAAAGAACAGACAGCCCAGGCUGCCUUUGGAAGUACUACAAGUAUUACCGAGACCCCUGGGCACCAUGUCCAUAUCUCCUGAGGUCAGUUAGAAGGCAGCAAAGGCAUCAAUAUUGCAUUCUAGGAUGCUGGAAGCUCUGGGAGCCAUGGCAUGGUAUUUUCUAAUAAAUCAGCCAGAGGUGAAACUUACCCCAUUGUGCCAGCAGUGAUGAACACUACCCACAGGUGUCCCAGGUUCAAGGUAAACGUGUACACCACCAUGCCCACCAGUGUCAUGAUAUAGACUACCAGGGUUGUCUCUCUACAAGUAGAGGCAAAGAAAUUGAAUCAAACACUUCUGACUUUAAUAGGCUCAUUCAUUCAUUUAUUCCACAAGCAUCUAUUAAGUAUCUGCCGCAUGUCAAGCCCUCUGCUAUGUUCUUGGAGUUUUGUUUUGUUUUCAGAGACAGUGUCUUGCUCUGUUGCCCAGGCUGGAGUGCAGUGGCGUGAUCACAGCUCGCUGAAACCUCUACCUCCUGGGCUCCAGCAAUUCUUGUGCCUCAGCCUGCUGAGUAGCUGGGACAGUUGUGCGCAUCACGCCUGGCUAAUUUUUGUAUUUUUCAUAGAGACGGUGUUUUGCCGUGUUGGCCAGGCUGGUAUCGAACUCCUGACCUCAAGUGCUCCACCUGCCUUGGCCUGCUAAAGUGCUGGGAUUACAGGCCUUACAAAGCCAAGGCCUGGCCUUGUUCUUGGACAUUUUCUUUCAUAGAACUUUCUCUCCAUGAGGGUGAUGGACACUGACAGAUGAUGAUCACACAAAAAAAUUAUUUAAUUACAUCAUGAUCAAUGCUACAAAGGGUAAGUAAGACUAGUAAAGUAUGAAGCCAUCUUACGAUAUCUUUGUUCCCUUUCUGUAGAACCCACUCAACAAUAUCAAUCUGCCCCUUGACUUGUCAUGUCCUAGCCACAGACAAGAAGGGCAAAGCCCUUUCUCCUUCUCCCAUCCCUCACCAGAAAAAAGAAAAAACAGGACAAACAUCAGCCAUGAUGAGGUGGCGGUGACAUUCAGGACUACCCCAGAAGCUGUCCAAUUCUGCUUGUCUGCUUUAUCCCAAGACCCAUGACAAUGCUGGGCAAUGUGCUCUGUCACCUACAAGUUCUUCCUGUCCCUACUUGAACAGACCAACAGACCCAGCAAAGCUUUUUCUUUUCUUUUUUUUCUUUUGUCCUUUUUUUGAGAUGGAGUUUCGCUCUUGUCGCACAGGCUGGGGUGCAGUGGCGUGAUCUCAGCUCACUGCAACCUCUGCCUCCCGGGUUCAAGCGAUUCUUCUGCCUCAGCCUCCCAAGUAGCUGAGAUUACAGGCAUGCGCCACCAUACGUGGCUAAUUUUUUGUAUUUCUAGUAGAGAUGGGGUUUCGCCAUGUUGGCCAGGCUGGUCUCAAACUCCUGACCUCAGGUGAUCUGCCCGCCUUGGCCUCCCAAAGUGUUCUAAUUAGAGGUGUGAGCCACUGCGCCUGGCCCAGCAAAGCUUUUUCUGUUGAGUCUGAACUACUCCACUCCAGAGAGCAGGAACUAAGAGAGAAUAUUCUCUCAGCCUGAACUGAGUGCUUGACUUCCAAAGCCAAUGUGAGAAACCUUCUCUAUCUUCGCCCACUCCCUGUUACAUUUCCCUGUGUCGAUCCCCUCAGGAGUACCAUCAGCAAGUCUUGGUUUCUAUUUCAGUCUCACCCCCUCCUGUGCCCCUCCAGCAGUUCUCUUCCCAUGUUGCCCACCUAGGACUCUGAUGCAGCCCCGACUCCUGCAAUUCGACCUGCAUUCUUCUCCCUGCACUACCUAAGGCAGGGCAUAGGCACUGCACAUCCCUCUGCCCCCCUACCAUGAACAUCAGGACUCAGAUGAUGAAAGCUUUAAAGCUUUUCUUUUCUUUCUUUUUUUUUUUUUUUUUGAGAUGGAGUCUUGCUCUGUCACCCAGGCUGGAGUGCAGUGGCACGAUCUCUGCUCACUGCAAGCUCCGCCUCCCAGGUUCACCAUUCUCCUGCCUCAGCCUCCCAAGCAGCUGGGACUACAGGGGCCCGCCACCACGCCUGGCUAAUGUUUUUUGUAGUUUGUUUAGUAGAGACAGGGUUUCACUGUGUUAGCCAGGGUGGUCUCGAUCUCCUGACCUCAUGAUCUGCCCGCCUCCGCCUCCCAAAGUGCUGGGAUUACAGGCGUGAGCCACCGCACCUGGCCAAAAUCUUUAAAGCUUUUCUUUACACAUCACCCCUGAAGCCAGAAUCAUGGUGGAGGCACCAAAUGGCACGCUACGGUUGUGUCAAACGAAACCCUCCAUCUCUUGAGUGCCAGAUUCUGUGAAGCACUUCACAUGCAUUUAUUAUUUCAAUUCAACCUUUACAAAAAUCCUGUAAGAAAUAUCUGAUGAUUUCUCAUUUUACCAAUGAAGAAACUGAAGCUCAGGCCACUCAAGUUACUUGUCCAAAGUCACCAGCUGAAUAAAUGCAGAGCUGAGAUGUGAACUCAAAGCUGGAUUUGAAACCUGUGUCCCUUCUGCUACUGCAUGCGGGAAUAACGAUGCACUAUGUGGUUGCAUCUUUGGAAAAGCUCAAGGUCAGAGUCUCCAAAGGAUGCUGCUCCCACCUGGUGCUUCAAAGCAGCUGCUAAGGGUAGAGGAGCUUCCUCCUCCCUUCACGCUCCUCCCUCACACUCUUCCUACCAACUCUGCUGAAAGCAACGUCAUGGACGCCAGUCUUGCCCGAUGAUCCCACAAGCUCACCAGGAUGAAGCUUUAACCAUAGCUUCAUCCUAAACCACUGACCAGUUUAGAAAAACUAUUUGUAGUCCCAGUCUGAGAUAAACAGACCUCACCACCCAAUUUCCAACCUCCAAACAAAACUAGACAAAUCUGGGAGCCUUAGAGUGACGAGGACUGGCUCCGAAAUGAUGGGAUCACAGAGCUCUCAUCCCACUGGGAGUUGCCUUUUCUCUGCCUGGGUAGUGGCACAGGGAGAAAAAUAUCUUGUGCUGACCACUGGAUUUAGACAUCACGUGAUGCUAGGAACUGGUGACAUCUAGGUUCUGAAGAGGGCUGAGAAAGUGUUCUUCCCAGUCCUCUCAUUAUCUUUUCUAAUUCAUCUGAAUCAUCCGGCUGCCCAUGUCCCAGCCCAGCCAGCAUUCCCAUCCCUCCCUCCUCCUGCCGCAGAGCAAGCCCCGGAAAAAGGGUCACUGCUAUUCAGUGGUUUGGGGAUGGCCAGUCCUCACUGCUCUUGUGUCUGGCUGAAGCAAGCAACUAACAGAUGGCAGCGAUGAGAUGGCAGCCAAGCCCCGCCAGCAGUAAUUAAGCCGAGCCAGGCUCCUCGUCGCCACCUCCCUAGGGAUGGUCUCAAUUGGCCUUUGAUUAGGGCAGCCAGAAUGAGACCUGGUCUGACCAGGGCCUCACAGAAGCGGGUUUGUGUGGCAGAGAACAGGUCUGCCACUGUCUGUUGCCUGCAGACACUGGGAACUUUGGAGGCCUUGACAGAGCAGCCGGGGACACUGCUCUGCCCCGGUACAGUACAGCCCAACAGCUGCCCCGCCAGCCAGUGCUAACUGAGUACCCAGUGAACGGGGAGCACUGGAAAAUCACAAGGGAAGGAUGUUGGGCUGCUGUUCGCCAGAGGAUUUUCUCCAAGGCCAGCUGCUGAAUGGAGGCACCCAGGCUGCUUUCUACAAAUGCAGAUUCUUCUGCUGAUUUGGCAUCCAUGGGGCGGGUAGUGGCCUGGCAUUCACUAAAACCUUUUAAUUUUUUUUUAACCCAUGUGCACACCGAUAAAACAUUUUCUUUUCUUUUUUUUCUUGAGCCAGGCUGGAGUGCAGUGGCGUGAACCCAGUUCACAGCAACCUCCACCUCCUGGGUCAAGCGAUCCUUCUACCUCAGCCUCCCAAAUAGCUGGGACUUCAGGUGUGUGCCACUAUGCCUAGCUAAUUUUUGUAUUUUUUGUAGAGAUGGGGUUUCACCAUGUUGCCCAGGCUGGUUUUGAGCUCCUAGACUCAAGCAAUCCUCCUGCCUCGGCCUCCCAAAGUGCUGGGAUUACAGAUGUGAGUCACUGCGCCCAGCCUGAUAAAACCUUUUAAAAUAGCUCCAGGCUCUUAGAAAUGCACUGGGCAUUCAGGUCCAAAGUAAGUUAUAAUAUUUACCAACAAGGUAUAAAUAAUUGCACAAUAAUAUACACUGCAAACUGGAGAAAGCUCAGAGUACCUUGGUCAACCCCAUGGGGUCCACAAGGUGCCAUGAGAACAGGAGAGUGAAAUCACCUCCUCCUCAUCUCCACUCUUUGGGGUUUCCACAAAUUUUCCACCGCUGAGAUUUUUUUUCCCCAUUCAUUUUCAUUUCUCCCUCCUCUGCUGCUUUCACAAAGCUACUUAGAGAGUGGGGAUGGGGAAGAGGACUAUGCUAGGCCUUCAAGUCCAGUAGCUCCCAUCUUCCUAAGAUCCUGUGGGGAUCUUAAGACGGGUAUAGCUUCCCUCAUUUGAUAAAUGAGGAAAGUGAGGCUCAGAGAAGUCAAACUUGAAUGACCUGCUUGGCCACUAGGAUCUCCAAACAAUGACUUGGAGUCACACUGCUUAUGAAUAUGUCAUUUCAAAAAACAGGUCCCCAAUUCUCAGUCCAAGAGGAUGAGUCACUUACUUGUAGGUUUUGGACCUAUCCAGCCAGAUUCCUGAGAUCACAGCCCCAAGCAUUCCUGCAAUGACGAUCGUCAGGCCAAUUCUUCCAGCAUUCACUUCUUCCCCCUGGGGAAACCAUAACCCCAAAGAUCACCCGGCGAUGGGACAAGACCCAGGACAGAGCACAGUCACCAUGGGGUGAAGGAACAAAGGCAGAGUGUAGCCAGAAGUCUAGGGAAAAGCCAGCAACACUUGGACCCUCGAUUUCCUCCAAGGCCUUCAAUUAUCGCUGCACCUCAGUUCUGGGCAGUUGACUCAUCAGCUGGGAGAACCACUUGAAAAGCCACUACAAAUACAAUACCACCAGCUGCAGGACAGUUACUCCCCCUCUUAGUGAAAUCUGGUUUGGACCAAAGAAGCAACGCUGGAAACCAGUAAGUUUACCAAUGCAAUAGCAUUGCAGUCUGGCAAUGGCAGACUGGCAGUCUGGAGGCAUGCCAUGUCUUUAUUCUCAACUGCAUUAAAAGCUUUCACUUCCAUUCAGAACACUCCAAUGGGAAAUAAGUAUCAUUACUGUUUUCUAGUGGGGGUGGAGAGUAUUAAAGAGAUGAAGGAUGGGCAGCACAGAUGGAUGAAGGUGGUACACUCAGUAUCUGGCAGAGCUGACACCAAAACUCAGACCUCCCAUUUCUUAUGAGCCAACUCUGAACUUACGAGUCCAGCACUCAAGGCUCUUAACCCAAGACAUGUCCACCCAUGUCCAGUACAUGUGCCUGUGAAAUGCUGUUGCCUGCUUAAUUCCUAGCCACAUGCUCUUUAAAUGCAUAUAAUUCAGAGCUAAAUAUGAACACUAUGUGUACAAUGUAAAAAGUAUGAACCAUUUUGUUCUUCAAAGUCCAAUCUGAAACUGCAAGGGGAUUAGGAGGACUGGGGUAAUUCUGGAGGAUUUCAAAGCAUCUAGUUGAAUUGAUAGAGGGCAUUUUAGAAAAUUGUUUUUGUUGGGAGGCCAAGGCGGGCAGAUCACCUGAGGUCAGGAGUUCGAGACCAGCCUGGUCAACAUGGUGAAACCCUGUCUCUACUAAAAACACAAAAAUUCCCUGGAUGUGGUGGCGGGUACCUGUAAUCCCAGCUACUCGGGAGGCUGAGUCAAGAGAAUUGCUCAAACCUGGAAGGUGGAGGUUGCAGUGAGCCGAGAUCAUGCCACUGCACUCCAGCUUGGGCGACAGAGUAAGACUCUGUUUAAAAAAAAAAAUUGUUUUUGUUUUUGUUUGUUUUAAUUUGGAACAAACACAGUAGGAAAAGAAAGCAAAGAUUAACAGUUGGAGUAAGUGCCUAUAGUUCUCGCCCUAUAGGCAAGAAGCUAAAACUCUAGAGCCUCAGUUUCCUCAUGUAUAAAAUGAAACAAAGGGCUAUGUCAUGGGUUUGUUUUGAAAAUUAAAUGAGAUAAUGCAUGUAAAGCAAUUAACAUGAUUCCUCCGUCAAAAAUUUUUUC
rnacentral:tRNA from 10 species